AGAGUUUGAUCCUGGCUCAGGACGAACGCUGGCGGCGUGCCUAACACAUGCAAGUCGAACGCGCUCCAUUCGGUAGCAAUACUGAUGAAGAGCGAGUGGCGAACGGGUGAGUAGCACGUGAGCAACCUGCCCCGAAGACUGGGACAACACCGGGAAACCGGUGCUAAUACCGGAUAUCCCUGUCGGACCGCAUGGUCCAACAAGGAAAUGUUUUUUCGCUUCGGGAGGGGCUCGCGGCCUAUCAGCUUGUUGGUGGGGUAACGGCCCACCAAGGCAUCGACGGGUAGCUGGUCUGAGAGGACGAUCAGCCACACUGGGACUGAGACACGGCCCAGACUCCUACGGGAGGCAGCAGUGGGGAAUCUUGCGCAAUGGGCGAAAGCCUGACGCAGCAACGCCGCGUGGAGGACGAAGGCUUUCUGAGUUGUAAACUCCUUUCAGCAGGGACGAUAGUGACGGUACCUGCAGAAGAAGCACCGGCCAACUACGUGCCAGCAGCCGCGGUAAUAC
rnacentral:rRNA from 1 species